rnacentral:rRNA from 1 species
CCUACGGGGGGCAGCAGUGAGGAAUAUUGGUCAAUGGGCGCAAGCCUGAACCAGCCAAGUCGCGUGAGGGAAGACGGCCCUACGGGUUGUAAACCUCUUUUGCCGGGGAGCAAGCCUGAGCACGUGUGCCCAGGCGGAGAGUACCCGGAGAAAAAGCAUCGGCUAACUCCGUGCCAGCAGCCGCGGUAAUACGGAGGAUGCGAGCGUUAUCCGGAAUUAUUGGGUGUAAAGGGUGCGUAGACGGAAGAACAAGUUGGUUGUGAAAUCCCUCGGCUCAACUGAGGAACUGCAACCAAAACUAUUCU